rnacentral:rRNA from 1 species
GAUGAACGCUGGCGGCGUGCCUAAUACAUGCAAGUCGAGCGAACGGACGAGAAGCUUGCUUUUCUGAUGUUAGCGGCGGACGGGUGAGUAACACGUGGAUAACCUACCUAUAAGACUGGGAUAACUUCGGGAAACCGGAGCUAAUACCGGAUAAUAUUUUGAACCGCAUGGUUCAAAAGUGAAAGACGGUCUUGCUGUCACUUAUAGAUGGAUCCGCGCUGCAUUAGCUAGUUGGUAAGGUAACGGCUUACCAAGGCAACGAUGCAUAGCCGACCUGAGAGGGUGAUCGGCCACACUGGAAGUGAGACACGGUCCAGGCUCCUACGGGAGGCAGCAGUAGGGAAUCUUCCGCAAUGGGCGAAAGCCUGACGGAGCAACGCCGCGUGAGUGAUGAAGGUCUGCGGAUCGUAAAACUCUGUUAUUAGGGAAGAACAUAUGUGUAAGUAACUGUGCACAUCUUGACGGUACCUAAACAGAAAGCCACGGCUAACUACGU